GGACCCGCACAAGCGGUGGAACAUGUGGUUUAAUUCGAAGCAACGCGCAGAACCUUACCAACCCUUGACAUCCUGUGCUACAUUCAGAGAUGAAUGGUUCCCUUCGGGGACGCAGUGACAGGUGCUGCAUGGCUGUCGUCAGCUCGUGUCGUGAGAUGUUCGGUUAAGUCCGGCAACGAGCGCAACCCACAUCCCUAGUUGCCAGCAGUUCGGCUGGGCACUCUAUGGAAACUGCCCGUGAUAAGCGGGAGGAAGGUGUGGAUGACGUCAAGUCCUCAUGGCCCCUUACGGGUUGGGCUACACACGUGCUACAAUGGCAUCUACAGUGGGU
rnacentral:rRNA from 1 species